rnacentral:rRNA from 1 species
UACGUAGGGGGCUAGCGUUGUUCGGAAUUACUGGGCGUAAAGCGCACGUAGGCGGCUUUGUAAGUUAGCGGUGAAAGCCCGGGGCUCAACUCCGGAAUUGCCUUUAAGACUGCAUCGCUAGAAUUGUGGAGAGGUGAGUGGAAUUCCGAGUGUAGAGGUGAAAUUCGUAGAUAUUCGGAAGAACACCAGUGGCGAAGGCGACUCACUGGACACAUAUUGACGCUGAGGUGCGAAAGCGUGGGGAGCAAACAGG